rnacentral:lncRNA from 1 species
CCUCAAAUAACAACUGGUGAUUUUGUGAUGUGAAAUUGUGCAUAUUUUCAAGUACAGCAUGGCUCCCUUCUGGGUAAUAACAAACACAUAAAUCCAUGCAUGUUUUUUCCUUUAAUUGGACAACUUUUAAUACAUAUAAUUUGUUUACAGUUACAUAAUUGGCCUGUCCCGUACCAUGAAGGCGUUGCAGCUGCCAUGCAUAGAAUUAAUUGAUGGCACACUGUUCUUCCUUUCCCCUUCUUCACCCCUAAAUACCGCUACCACUAAAAUAAACAGUCUCUGCAUGAGAAAGAAGAAAAAAAAAUCAUGAAUAAGCAGCCCUCUCAGCUUAACUAGGACCCUUUCUCUAUCCAGCUCAAAUUUAAGUGAUUUAAAA